GAUGAACGCUAGCGGCAGGCCUAACACAUGCAAGUCGAGGGAGGAGCUUUCGGGCUUCGACCGGCGUACGGGUGCGUAACGCGUAUACAAUCUGCCUUUCACAUAGGGAUAGCCCGAAGAAAUUUGGAUUAAUACCUAAUGUUAUAUAGGAGUGGCAUCACCUUUAUAUUAAAGCUGAGGCGGUGAAAGAUGAGUAUGCGUUCUAUUAGCUAGUUGGAGAGGUAACGGCUCCCCAAGGCGACGAUAGAUAGGGGUUCUGAGAGGGAUAUCCCCCACACUGGUACUGAGAUACGGACCAGACUCCUACGGGAGGCAGCAGUGAGGAAUAUUGGACAAUGGUCGGAAGACUGAUCCAGCCAUGCCGCGUGCAGGAAGACGGCCUUAUGGGUUGUAAACUGCUUUUGCAGGGGAAGAAUAAGGAGUACGUGUACUUUGAUGACGGUACUCUGCGAAUAAGCAUCGGCUAACUCCGUG
rnacentral:rRNA from 1 species